CACUUCCAUGUGCUCGCGACCAGGACCACGCGCUCAGGGGAGCGCUCGGGAUACGGCGCGUGACGUCACGGCGAGACUGGGAAAGCCGGUCGCAAAAAAGAAAUCGGCGCAAUAUCAACGAUCAUACAGAUGGACAGAUUGGCACCAAUUAACUCCAGGAAGGAAGCAAUUAAAGGAAUCAGAUGGGUACCGCAGUUGGAUGGAGUUGCCCUCCUCUCCUGUGAUGGGGAGUGGGGGGUGUUGGGGGGGAUUGAACGGGCUCGGGGCGCCCUCUGCUGGUCAAAGUGCUCAUCGGUCAUCAGUGGGCUGGAGCCAGGUCCUGCAGAGCUCAACCGCCACCUGUUUAAAUAAAGGAUUAACUAACUGACAACGUUUAGAAAAAUAACAAAACAUGUGUGAACCUGCAACAUUACUGUUUUUCUCUGGAGAAAACGGCGAUUGUAUACUUAAGAUUGUACUUAAUCCCAUAAAAAGUGAAUUUAUGUUACAUUAAAAUGUUUUUAUUAUUAUUUA